UGGGGAAUUUUGGACAAUGGGCGAAAGCCUGAUCCAGCAAUGCCGCGUGUGUGAAGAAGGCCUUCGGGUUGUAAAGCACUUUUGUCCGGAAAGAAAUGGCUCUGGUUAAUACCUGGGGUCGAUGACGGUACCGGAAGAACAAGGACCGGCUAACUACGUGCCAGCAGCCGCGGUAAUACGUAGGGUCCAAGCGUUAAUCGGAAUUACUGGGCGUAAAGCGUGCGCAGGCGGUUGUGCAAGACCGAUGUGAAAUCCCCGAGCUUAACUUGGGAAUUGCAUUAGUGACUGCACGGCUAGAGUGUGUCAGAGGGGGGUAGAAUUCCACGUGUAGCAGUGAAAUGCGUAGAGAUGUGGAGGAAUACCGAUGGCGAAGGCAGCCCCCUGGGAUAACACUGACGCUCAUGAACGAAAGCGUGGGGAGCAAACAGG
rnacentral:rRNA from 1 species